rnacentral:rRNA from 1 species
UACAGAGGUCUCGAGCGUUGUUCGGAUUCAUUGGGCGUAAAGAGCGUGUAGGCGGCUUUACAGGUCCGUUGUAAAAACUCGAGGCUCAACCUCGAGACGCCGGUGGAAACCGUAAAGCUAGAGUCCGGAAGAGGAGAGUGGAAUUCCUGGUGUAGCGGUGAAAUGCGCAGAUAUCAGGAGGAACACCCGUGGCGAAAGCGGCUCUCUGGGACGGUACUGACGCUGAGACGCGAAAGCGUGGGGAGCAAACAGG